rnacentral:rRNA from 1 species
GAUGAACGCUGGCGGCGUGCCUAAUACAUGCAAGUCGAGCGAACAGACGAGGAGCUUGCUCCUCUGACGUUAGCGGCGGACGGGUGAGUAACACGUGGAUAACCCACCUAUAAGACUGGGAUAACUUCGGGAAACCGGAGCUAAUACCGGAUAAUCUAUUGAACCGCAUGGUUCAAUAGUGAAAGACGGUUUUGCUGUCACUUAUAGAUGGAUCCGCGCCGCAUUAGCUAGUUGGUAAGGUAACGGCUUACCAAGGCAACGAUGCGUAGCCGACCUGAGAGGAUGAUCGGCCACACUGGAACUGAGACACGGUCCAGACUCCUACGGGAGGCAGCAGUAGGGAAUCUUCCGCAAUGGGCGAAAGCCUGACGGAGCAACGCCGCGUGAGUGAUGAAGGUCUUCGGAUCGUAAAACUCUGUUAUUAGGGAAGAACAAAUGUGUAAGUAACUAUGCACGUCUUGACGGUACCUAAUCAGAAAGCCACGGCUAACUACGUG